GUAGGGAAUCUUCGGCAAUGGGGGGCAACCCCUGACCGAGCAACGCCGCGUGAGUGAAGAAGGUUUUCGGAUCGUAAAGCUCUGUUGUAAGAGAAGAACGUGUGUGAGAGUGGAAAGUUCACACAGUGACGGUAACUUACCAGAAAGGGACGGCUAACUACGUGCCAG
rnacentral:rRNA from 1 species